rnacentral:rRNA from 1 species
GCUGUGAGCUCGAUGAGUAAGGCGGGACACGUGGUAUCCUGUCUGAAUAUGGGGGGACCAUCCUCCAAGGCUAAAUACUCCUGACUGACCGAUAGUGAACCAGUACCGUGAGGGAAAGGCGAAAAGAACCCCGGCGAGGGGAGUGAAACAGAACCUGAAACCGUGUACGUACAAGCAGUGGGAGCACCCUUGUGGUGUGACUGCGUACCUUUUGUAUAAUGGGUCAGCGACUUAUAUUCUGUAGCAAGGUUAACCGUAUAGGGGAGCCGCAGGGAAACCGAGUCUUAACUGGGCGUUAAGUUGCAGGGUAUAGACCCGAAACCCGGUGAUCUAGCCAUGGGCAGGUUGAAGGUUGGGUAACACUAACUGGAGGACCGAACCGACUAAUGUUGAAAAAUUAGCGGAUGACCUGUGGCUGGGGGUGAAAGGCCAAUCAAACCGGGAGAUAGCUGGUUCUCCCCGAAAGCUAUUUAGGUAGCGCCUCGUGAACUCAUCUCCGGGGGUAGAGCACUGUUUCGGCUAGGGGGCCAUCCCGGCUUACCAACCCGAUGCAAACUGCGAAUACCGGAGAAUGUUAUCACGGGAGACACACGGCGGGUGCUAACGUCCGUCGUGAAGAGGGAAACAACCCAGACCGCCAGCUAAGGUCCCAAAGUCAUGGUUAAGUGGGAAACGAUGUGGGAAGGCACAGACAGCCAGGAUGUUGGCUUAGAAGCAGCCAUCAUUUAAAGAAAGCGUAAUAGCUCACUGGUCGAGUCGGCCUGCGCGGAAGAUGUAACGGGGCUAAACCAUGCACCGAAGCUGCGGCAGCGACACUAUGUGUUGUUGGGUAGGGGAGCGUUCUGUAAGCCGUUGAAGGUGUGCUGUGAGGCAUGCUGGAGGUAUCAGAAGUGCGAAUGCUGACAUAAGUAACGAUAAAGCGGGUGAAAAGCCCGCUCGCCGGAAGACCAAGGGUUCCUGUUCAACGUUAAUCGGAGCAGGGUGAGUCG